CUCUCUGAUGAGAAGGAGGCCACUGGGCUGAGGCCAACGAAUGAGAAAGAGCCAGCCACGUGGUGAGCAGGGAGAGGGCAUCCCAGGCACUGCGACCAGCACUUGCAAAGGCCCUGGGGCUGGACAGUUCUUGGCGGAGUCUGAGGCAUGCACAGUCCCAAGAAAGACCUGUCCUGGAGUCAGUGACCAAAAUGAGCCAAGGAACAGCCCUCCUCAUCUUGUCUCCUCCCAGCUUCUACCUUGACCAUGAUUCCAUUCCUUCUCACUGUCCAAGUUAUCAGUCAGGCUACACACUCUGCCGGGAACUGGGGAGCAAUUGAAGUUUAUUGAGCAUGGGAAGCACUCUGAGGAAAGUGCUCUAGGCUGCAAGAGUUGGCAACCAGGAUGGUUGGGAGCAGGAGACAGCAGAGCACAAUCAUAGAACUGCUUAUCUGGGAAAGCGUCCCAUCAUUUUCUCUGAAGAAACUGAGGCUCGGAGCAGAGAAGGAUCUUCCUUUGAGCCCCUUGUCACCAUUACCUACCCUCAUAGACAAAGCACAACCCGACCUCUAACACCGUGAACCAGCUUUGCCUGUUUUGUAAUUUAAAUAAAUGGACUCACACG